AGAAUCAACGCUGGCGGCGUGCCUAACACAUGCAAGUCGCACGAGAAAAGGGAGCAAUCCCUGAGUAAAGUGGCGCACGGGUGAGUAACACGUGAAUCAUCUACCUCCGAGUGGGGAAUAACCUCGAGAAAUCUGGGCUAAUACCGCAUAACACUUACGAGUCAAAGCAGCAAUGCGCUUGGAGAGGAGUUCGCGGCAGAUUAGCUAGUUGGCGGGGUAAUGGCCCACCAAGGCGAUGAUCUGUAUCCGGCCUGAGAGGGCGCACGGACACACUGGAACUGAAACACGGUCCAGACUCCUACGGGAGGCAGCAGUGGGGAAUUUUGCGCAAUGGGGGAAACCCUGACGCAGCAACGCCGCGUGGAGGAUGACGCCCCUUGGGGUGUAAACUCCUUUCGAUCGGGAAGAUAAUGACGGUACCGAUAUAAGAAGCCCCGGCUAACUUCGUGCCAGCAGCCGC
rnacentral:rRNA from 1 species